rnacentral:rRNA from 1 species
GUUGAACGCUGGCGGCAUGCCUUACACAUGCAAGUCGAACGGUAACAGGUCUUUUGAUGCUUACAUUUGUCGCACGGGUGUGUAUUACAUCUGAACAUGCUCCACCGUGCGCUAUAAUGGAGCGUAAACUUUGCUAAUACCGCAUACGAUCUACGGUUACCAGCUGGUGACCGCAUGGACUUACGCUUACGUGGCGGCUGAUGGCAGAUCAGGUAGUUGGUGGGAUAAAAGCAUACCAAGCCGACGAUUUGUAGCUGGUCUGAGAGGACGACCAGACACACUGGGACUGAGACACGGCCCAGACUCCUAAGGGAGGCAGCAGUGGGGAAUUGUGGACAAUGGGCGAAAGCCUGAUCCAGCCAUGCCGCGUGCAGGAUGAAGGCCUUCGGGUUGUAAACUGCUUUUGUACGGAACGAAAAGACUCUUUCUAAGAAAGAGGGUCCAUGACGGUACCGUAAGAAUAAGCACCGGCUAACUACGUG